rnacentral:rRNA from 1 species
UCUGACGGAGCAACGCCGCGUGAGUGAUGAAGGUUUUCGGAUCGUAAAGCUCUGUUGUUAGGGAAGAACAAGUGCAAGAGUAACUGCUUGCACCUUGACGGUACCUAACCAGAAAGCCACGGCUAACUACGUGCCAGCAGCCGCGGUAAUACGUAGGUGGCAAGCGUUGUCCGGAAUUAUUGGGCGUAAAGGGCUCGCAGGCGGUUUCUUAAGUCUGAUGUGAAAGCCCCCGGCUCAACCGGGGAGGGUCAUUGGAAACUGGGAAACUUGAGUGCAGAAGAGGAGAGUGGAAUUCCACGUGUAGCGGUGAAAUGCGUAGAGAUGUGGAGGAACACCAGUGGCGAAGGCGACUCUCUGGUCUGUAACUGACGCUGAGGAGCGAAAGCGUGGGGAGCGAACAGGAUUAGAUACCCUGGUAGUCCACGCCGUAAACGAUGAGUGCUAAGUGUUAGGGGGUUUCCGCCCCUUAGUGCUGCAGCUAACGCAUUAAGCACUCCGCCUGGGGAGUACGGUCGCAAGACUGAAACUCAAAGGAAUUGACGGGGGCCCGCACAAGCGGUGGAGCAUGUGGUUUAAUUCGAAGCAACGCGAAGAACCUUACCAGGUCUUGACAU